rnacentral:rRNA from 1 species
GACGAACGCUGGCGGCGUGCUUAACACAUGCAAGUCGAGCGGUAAGGCCCUUUCGGGGGUACACGAGCGGCGAACGGGUGAGUAACACGUGGGUGACCUGCCUUUAGCUCUGGGAUAAGCCUGGGAAACUGGGUCUAAUACCGGAUAUGACUCCAUGAUGCAUGUUGUGGGGUGGAAAGCCUUGUGCGGCUGGAGAUGGGCCCGCGGCCUAUCAGCUUGUUGGUGGGGU